ACAGGACUCAAAAUAAAAAUUACAGGAUUCAAAAUAAAAGGAUUACAGAAAUAAAAAGAUUUUAUCAACAUUCAAGCCAUAACGAAUCACGGUGAUUGGUGUCCACACCAAGUUUUGUUCAAAGAAGAGAUUUUUAUUAAUGGAUGGCCAUAUAGCAACAUUCUAAUGUAAAGAUUCAGUGACAUCAAAUGAAGGCUAAACUAGCUUUAGCUUAGUGGUAGUACCCUCUUACUUAUACGCGAG
rnacentral:lncRNA from 1 species